rnacentral:rRNA from 1 species
GAUGAACGCUAGCGGCAGGCCUAAUACAUGCAAGUCGUACGGCAACACAGUUGCGAGCAAUCGCAACCGGUGGCGAGUGGCGCACGGGUGAGUAACGCGUAUGUAACCUACCCUUCUCCGGGACAUAACUCCGCGAAAGCGGUGCUAAUAUCCCAUACCAACUCAUCAAGACAUCUUCUUGAGUUGAAAGCAGCAAUGCGGUGAAGGAUGGGCAUGCGUCCCAUUAGCUGGUUGGUGAGGUAAUGGCCCACCAAGGCUACGAUGGGUAGGGGUUCUGAGAGGAAAGCCCCCCACACUGGUACUGAGACACGGACCAGACUCCUACGGGAGGCAGCAGUAAGGAAUAUUGGGCAAUGGUCGAAAGACUGACCCAGCCAUGCCGCGUGCAGGAUGAAGGCCCUAUGGGUUGUAAACUGCUUUUAGCCGGGAAUAAACACCCGUUUUAUAACGGGCCCGAAGGUACCGGCUGAAUAAGCAAUCGGCUAACUCCGUGCCAGCAGCCG